UACGUAGGGUGCGAGCGUUAAUCGGAAUUACUGGGCGUAAAGCGUGCGCAGGCGGUUCGUUGUGUCGGCGGGGAAAGCCCCGGGCUCAACCUGGGAAUGGCCGUUGAAACUGGCGAACUGGAGUGUGGCAGAGGGGGGUGGAAUUCCGCGUGUAGCAGUGAAAUGCGUAGAGAUCGGUCAGAACACCAGUGGCGAAGGCGGCACCCUGGGCCAGCACUGACGCUGAGACGCGAAAGCGUGGGGAGCGAACGGA
rnacentral:rRNA from 1 species